GGGGAAUAUUGCACAAUGGGCGAAAGCCUGAUGCAGCGACGCCGCGUGGGGGAUGACGGUCUUCGGAUUGUAAACCCCUUUCAGUAGGGACGAAGCGCAAGUGACGGUACCUGCAGAAGAAGCACCGGCCAACUACGUGCCAGCAGCCGCGGUAAUACGUAGGGUGCGAGCGUUGUCCGGAAUUACUGGGCGUAAAGAGCUCGUAGGCGGUUUGUCACGUCGUCUGUGAAAUCCUCCAGCUUAACUGGGGGCGUGCAGGCGAUACGGGCAGACUUGAGUACUACAGGGGAGACUGGAAUUCCUGGUGUAGCGGUGAAAUGCGCAGAUAUCAGGAGGAACACCGGUGGCGAAGGCGGGUCUCUGGGUAGUAACUGACGCUGAGGAGCGAAAGCAUGGGUAGCGAAC
rnacentral:rRNA from 1 species